rnacentral:lncRNA from 1 species
CACCCCCUUCCAAAAUCGAGCCCUAGCUCUUCUCCUGCCGUCGAAAACCCGCCGCCGCUGCAACUGAAAGACCGGUGAGCGGCCGCUGCCUUCCUCCGCGACGCCGCUGCUUCUGUAAUCCGACGAGAGUCGAUCUCUCCUUCUCUCUGAAUGCACGUGCGCGAGGUCAAAGGGCGGCCCCCAAAAUUCUCUAAGUCUCGAAUCGCCUUCGCCGUGGACUCUGUAAAUCCGGCGACUGCUAGUCAUCGUUCUUCCUCCCAAAUCGGCGACGCCGGUGUAGAGCCUGAGCCCGGCGCCAUUCCUCAUCUCUUCUCCCUUCUGGAAGCUCCGGGAACACGCACACACACACCCGAGGCAGAGGUCGAGCCCUGGUCCUCUCAGCGCACUCUCAAUCUCGC